GCCAAUGCAUGCUUUUACAGUAUGAAAAUUGGUGAUUUAUAAUAACUUAGCAAAUCGCAUAGUGAAAACAGGCGAUAAAUCAUUCAAGUUUCUGACCUAUCAGCUUUCGACGGUAUGGUAUUGGCUUACCGUGGCAGUGACGGUUAACGGGGGAUUAGGGUUCGAUUCCGGAGAGGGAGCCUGAGAAACGGCUACCACAUCUAAGGAAGGCAGCAGGCGCGCAAAUUACCCAAUUCUAACAGUUUGAGAGAGGUAGUAACAAGAAAUAACAAUACAAGGCAGUUAAAAUGCUUUGUAAUUGGAAUGAUAGAAAUUUAAACCCUUUUUAAAGUAUCAAUUGGAGGGCAAGUCUGGUGCCAGCAGCCGCGGUAAUUCCAGCUCCAAUAGCGUAUAUUAAAAUUGUUGCAGUUAAAAAGCUCGUAGUUGAAGUUCUGCUAAAAGUAACCGGUCUGCUUUGAAUAAAAGUGGUAUCUUGGUAUGUAUUUAGCAAUGAUGUCCUUUGAAGUGUUUUUUACUUUAUUGUAAUAAAGCAUAUUCAGGACUUUUACUUUGAGAAAAUUAGAGUGUUUCUAGCAGGCCAACGCUUUGAAUACUGCAGCAUGGAAUAAUAAGA
rnacentral:rRNA from 1 species